rnacentral:rRNA from 1 species
UACGUAGGGUGCGAGCGUUGUCCGGAAUUAUUGGGCGUAAAGGGCUCGUAGGCGGUUUGUCGCGUCGGGAGUGAAAUCCACUGGCUUAACUGGUGGCUUGCUUUCGAUACGGGCAGACUGGAGGUAUGCAGGGGAGAACGGAAUUCCUGGUGUAGCGGCGAAAUGCGCAGAUAUCAGGAGGAACACCGGUGGCGAAGGCGGUUCUCUGGGCCUUACCUGACGCUGAGGAGCGAAAGCGUGGGGAGCAAACAGG